rnacentral:rRNA from 1 species
UACGGGGGGGGCAAGCGUUGUUCGGAAUUACUGGGCGGUAAAGGGCUCGUAGGCGGCCAACUAAGUCAGACGAUGAAAUCCCCUCGGCGUUAACCGGGGAACUGCGUCUGAUACUGGAUGGCUUGAGUUCGGGGAGAGGGAUGCGGAAUUCCAGGUGUAGCGGUGAAAUGCGUAGAUAUCUGGAGGAACACCGGUGGCGAAGGCGGCAUCCUGGA